CUUCUUACACAGCACACAGAGCAGGACAAAAGACAAGCCACACAACAAACAAGAUGACAGAGGGUGCAGGAAGUUAACAAACCAACAGCACAGUCAGUCUGUGGGCACACAGUUGAGAUAAGGCUUCGGUCUGGUCCAGAUACUUCAGACAUCGUUGAGUCUUAAGGCCAACUAACCAACCAAAGAUCCACAGAAAUGAUCCAGCAGAAGAACUACUGCCAUUCGUCUGGAAAAUAAACUCAACACCUUGUACCUCUGACAAAACCGACAGAAGGCACUACCCAGAAAACUACAGCCACUAUUGGAUUCGUUCAGUAUCACUGCUUCCGUCAGAUUCUGCACAGGCCCAGCUUCUUCACAUCACUAGCUUUUGACUAAAGUUCUAGGGCAGAUAAAAAUGAGAGGAACUGUGAGCCAAGGUUUAACAGCUGGUCCCAUACACAGCAUGGGGACACCUGGGAAAUUUGACCCUGGAUUUACUUCUUGGACCACUGCUCUCCAGAAUAUAGUGAGUUAAGGAGAUCCCAGGAAUCACCAAAAUCAAUCCCCAGCUUGUCACAGCAGCUUAAGAAGUCUGUACUUCUACAAUACAUUUACAAUUCAUAAAAAGUCAGUAAUAGGCUAAAAUGUUAAGGAAAAACCCCUAAAUUUUGCAGUACUGGCAGACACUGACUUAUUGUAGCUAAGUUCACUGUCUCUGGCACCCAACUGAGCAACUGAAAUAAUGCAUUUUUAUACUAGUGACAACCCUCGUAUAGGAUGCGGCCUAGAAAGGAGAGGA